rnacentral:rRNA from 2 species
AAAGGCUGGUAGGAGUGGUCAGAGAUUGCUUGCGUCCACUUUGUGGUUCCCAGAAUACGGGCUCCAUACCGCGGGUCGUGUUCGCAAAGACACGACCUGCACACCGCACCCGACACUGCUCGGGGCGGACAACUGAACACACGCAUGACGUGUGACCCAGAUUUGACCACCACCACGCCUUCGGCUGGUGGGUGUGUCUGAGAGGGUUACGGCGGCCAUAGCGAGAGGGAAACGCCCGGUCACAUUCCGAACCCGGAAGCUAAGACUCUCAGCGCCGAUGGUACUGCAGGGGGGACCCUGUGGGAGAGUAGGACACCGCCGGAC